GCCUUCGGGAGCCCUUGCACAGGUGCUGCAUGGCUGUCGUCAGCUCGUGUCGUGAGAUGUUGGGUUAAGUCCCGCAACGAGCGCAACCCUCGUCCUGUGUUGCUCUCUCACAGGAGACUGCCCCGCAAAACGGGGAGGAAGGUGGGGAUGACGUCAAGUCAGCAUGGCCCUUAAGCCCUGGGCAACACACACGCUACAAUGGGCGGUACAGAGGGAAGCUAAGGAGCAAUCCGGAGCUAAUCCCACAAACCCGCCCUCAGUUCGGAUUGGAGGCUGCAACUCGCCUCCAUGAAGUCGGAGUUGCUAGUAACCGCAGGUCAGCAUACUGCGGUGAAUACGUUCUCGGGCCUUGUACACACCGCCCGUCACGCCAUGGAAGCUGGCAACACCUGAAGUCGAUGUGCCAACCCGCUCUGCGGGAGGCAGUCGUCGAGGGUGGGGCUAGUGACUGGGGCGAAGUCGUAACAAGGUAACC
rnacentral:rRNA from 1 species